GUAGAUUGUUUAACCCCGGAAAAGGGUAUUGCGCGGGUAAGUUUGUUUGCUAGUUAGCCUGCUUAGUAAAGUUGGCUUCAUAGCAAUCACAGAAAAAUAAAGUGGUGACAGCUGCAUAGAAGUACGGUAUUUGACAAGAGUUAAAGGGUAUAUUGGGAGGUGGUGUCCCGUCCCCCCAGGCCGUUUGCAUGGUGUACUGUACUACCCGAUAGGAUCAUGUAGUGGCAUAGUAACGUUAGUGGGUUUUUAAUGAGUGUAGGUAGCAGCUGCAGAGAAAGACCUUGGAGUACGAGAUUUUACUGCAGAAGAAGUAAUUAUGUUGGGGGGGGGUGAUUUUAAUGAAAUAGGGGUAUAUACCGUAGGUGUAGGGUUAGUUGGUGGAUUUAUUUAUUUUAGGAACAGGAAUAAUGAGAAUUGAAUGUAGGUAGGAAAUGACUGGCCUCACUUUAGUACAGCAGCGGUGUAUGUACAUUUAAAUUGUAUGCGAUAGGCCAAUCCCGAAGAAGGAGAAUCAAAUCAAAUGUAUUUAUAAAGCCCUUCUUACAUCAGCUGAUAUCUCAAAGUGCUGUAUAGAAACCCAGCCUAAAACCCCAAACAGCAAUGCAGAGAAGAGGCUAGCUGGCUUGUGCUUGUAGUCAAAUAAUAAAAAAAGAUGUUCAACGAAAUCGUUUUUCGUGCGCGUGUAGUGUCCGUUAUGGAAACUUUAACAGCAGCAGCCGUGCGAGCAGUGUGUCAAAUAAUGGAAGAAAGCUACGCUGCCCUUCGUGUGGAAAUGGAGUGUAGCCAUGAACCGAACAGGAAGCCCCUGACGAUGGAGAAGGAGACUGCAAGCAUUUAACCCUUGCCGUUCUCCUGAUCGUAUACAAAUGGAAGGGGGGCAAUAACGAAGCAAUAUACCAGGGGGACCGAGUCAAUGUGCUGUGGUACAGGUUUGAGAAAGACCCCUGUUGAUGAACAGCAGGAUGAAGACGAGGCCAGCGGUGCUGAUAUGGAAGAUGAUCCCAUGGACCACGAUGAUCUCACAGGUCAUGAUGAUUACACUCCACUGUUACCGAUGUCAUCGCAUGGACCAUCACAGCCUGUUAAACCAAAGACCACAUCCUCUCUGGUUAAGCUUACGGAAGACGAGGCCAGCGGUGCUGAUAUGGAAGAUGAUCCCAUGGACCAUCACAGCCUGUUAAACCAAAGACCACAUCCUCUCUGGUUAAGCUUACGGACGAUGAGGCCAGCGGUGCUGAUAUGGAAGAUGAUCCCAUGGACCAUCACAGCCUGUUAAACCAAAG